rnacentral:rRNA from 1 species
UACGUAGGGUGCAAGCGUUAAUCGGAAUUACUGGGCGUAAAGCGUGCGCAGGCGGUUUUGUAAGCCAGAUGUGAAAUCCCCGGGCUUAACCUGGGAAUGGCAUUUGGGACUGCAAGGCUGGAGUUUGGCAGAGGAGACUGGAAUUCCUGGUGUAGCAGUGAAAUGCGUAGAUAUCAGGAGGAAUACCGAUGGCGAAGGCAGGUCUCUGGGCUAUAACUGACGCUCAUGCACGAAAGCGUGGGGAGCAAACAGG